AGCGUAGACGGAUGGGCAAGUCUGAUGUGAAAGGCAUGGGCUCAACCUGUGGACUGCAUUGGAAACUGUCAUACUUGAGUGCCGGAGGGGUAAGCGGAAUUCCUAGUGUAGCGGUGAAAUGCGUAGAUAUUAGGAGGAACACCAGUGGCGAAGGCGGCUUACUGGACGGUAACUGACGUUGAGGCUCGAAAGCGUGGGAGCAAACG
rnacentral:rRNA from 1 species